GACGAACGCUGGCGGCAUGCCUAAUACAUGCAAGUCGAGCGAACAGAUGAAGUGCUUGCACUUCUGACGUUAGCGGCGAACGGGUGAGUAACACGUAAGGAAUCUACCUAUAAGCGGGGGAUAACAUUCGGAAACGGGUGCUAAUACCGCAUAAUAUCUUCUUCCGCAUGGAAGAAGAUUGAAAGACGGCUCUGCUGUCCCUUAUAGAUGACCUUGCGGUGCAUUAGUUAGUUGGGGGGGUAACGGCCUACCAAGACGAUGAUGCAUAGCCGACCUGAGAGGGUGAUCGGCCACAUUGGGACUGAGACACGGCCCAAACUCCGACGGGAGGCAGCAGUAGGGAAUGUUCCGCAAUGGGCGAAAGCCUGACAGAGCAAUGCCGCGUGAGUGAAGAAGGACUUCGGGUCGUAAAACUCUGUUAUAAGAGAAGAACAAAUUGUAGUGUAACUGCUACAGUCUUGACGGUAUCUUAUCAGAAAGCCACGGCUAACUACGUGCCAGCAGCCGCGGUAA
rnacentral:rRNA from 1 species